GCAUCGAUAAAAUAAAUCCAAAUUCCAGUAGUAGAUGAAUAAUUGCAAAUUUGUGUGUGUACGAGAUUAGAAUAACUUCAAAAUAACUGACAUAAUUUUGUAUUUUUCCUAAUCAGAAAAAUACAUGAAAAAGAAACGAGGUAGAAUUUUUUUGGAUUUAUGGUUAAAGAAGAAAAAGAAGAAAACAUGGGUUCUGUUGAAUUUCAAGUAUUCAGUUUCACCAAUAAGAUACGGAGACUUGCUUACGGCGGGAGUCAUUGGUUCAAAUCCAAUAGUAGGUAAGUAGGUAGAAAAAUUACUAGAUAGCGUUGGACUUACUUCGCUUCGCUAUGUAAUAACUUUUUCUACCCCUCUUCCCUUUUUCUUUGUAUCAACUAUAAACCACUGGUGUCGGUGUCAAAACCGGCGGAUCUCGGGUAGGGGUCCCGAACUGUGCGUCUAGGCGGAUGGUAACAGGAGACAAGGGACACGAUGUUUUACCCAGGUUCGGGCCCUCUCGAUGGAGGUAAAACCCUACGUCCUGCUUGAUUGAUAUUGAUAUUGUGGAUGUUUACAAGAGUGGAUCUACCACGAGAUCAAGGAGGCUAAACCCUAGAAGCUAGCCUAUGGUAUGAUUGUAAUGGUUGUUGUUGUGUCCUAUGGACUAGAGCCAUCCGGUUUAUAUAGACACCCAGAGGGCUAGGGUUACAUAGAGUCGGUUACAAUGGUAGGAGAUCUACGUAUCCGUAUCGCCAAGCUUGCCUUCCACGCCAAGGAAAGUCCCAUCCGGACACGGGACGAAGUCUUCAAUCUUGUAUCUUCAUAGUCUUGGAGUCCGGUCGAUGAUGAUAGUCCGACCGAUGAUAGUUUGGCUGAUGAUGGUAGUCCGGCUAUCCGGACACCCCCUAAUCCAGGACUCCCUCAGUAGCCCCUGAACCAGGCUUCAAUGACGAUGAUUCCGGCGCGUAUAUUGCUUGGCAUUGCAAGGCGGGUUCCUCCUCCGAAUGAUAGAAGAUUGUGAACACCAGGAUAGUGUCCGGCUCUACAAAAUAAAUUCCACAUUCCACCGUAGAGAGAAUAAUAUAUACACAAGUUCAAUCUGCUGACGUUUUUUGCGGCAUGACGUCACGCCACUACCAAGCCAUUACUUGAAUCGUUUUUUACUCUACCACCUCAGCGCAUUUAGCGAAGCGGUUUCCUUGGCACGUCUUGUCGAAGCAGAGAUCGCGUUCCCCCUUAAUCCGGGAUUCUCAUCAAUACGGAUGUGGGUAACCCAACCGCGCUAUUGAUGGUGACGCUUGGGGGAUAAGCGAGUUUUACCAGGCCGGUGGGGGACGCGUAGACUUCGCCCGCCCAUAUAAGGGAUAAGGAUUCACCUUUUCACCUACGCCUUCUUCCUCCUUUGCUUAUCCAUCUCCGCGCACUCCAGCUCUAGCGCCCAAGCCCGCACAUCUCGUCUCAACCUUCCCCAGUUAUGUCCGGAGCGGGAGGCAAGUGGAUGACCUCCUCCGUUAUAGAGGAGCACAUCGAAAGACUGCGCAGCGCCGGCUACCUGUCCGGCGACAUCGCGCACCGGCUGCCCGACGAGGGGCAGCUCAUCCCCACCCCCAGGCCCCAUGAGAGGGUCGUUUUUCUUCCCCACUUCCUCCGCGGACUGGGUUUUCCACUUCACCCCUUUGUCCGGGGGCUCAUGUUCUACUACGGCCUGGAUUUCCAUGAUCUGGCAUCAAACUUCAUCCUCAACAUCUCGGCGUUUAUCGUCGUGUGCGAGGCCUUCCUCUGCAUCCAGCCCCACUUCGGCUUGUGGCUCAAGACCUUCAAUGUCAAGCCGAAGGUAGUGAAGGGCACUCAAGUGGAGUGCGGAGGUGCCAUGUUGGGCAAGAUGCCCAAUGUCCUUUGGUUCGAAGGGGCCUUCGUGGAAUCCGUCAAGGGGUGGCAAUCGGGGUGGUUCUAUACCACCGAGCCGCGCGACCCUAAGUGGGCGGCAGCCCCCGAGUUCAGAUCUGGUAUCCCCACGCAGCUCACCUCCUGGAAAGAGAAGGGCUUGCUGUGGGGUAGUUCGGAGGAGCUGACGGGACUCCAAGCCUAUAUCCAGAAGCUGGUGAAGAAGCUCAGGCUGGUUAACAUGGUCCAAGUCAUGCUCGUCCGCCGGAUUCUCCCAUGCCAAGAGCGGGCAUUCAAUCUGUGGGAGUUCAAUUUGGAACAGCACCAGGCGUUGAGCGGGCUCUUCGACACGCUGUACGAAGGCGCCUAGAGGGUGCUGUUUAAGGGCGCCGAAGCCCCCGCAUCCGCGACUGAAGAUCGCGGAUUUCGCACGCAGCGCCAAGCCGACGAGGUAAGUGAUUCUACCCCUUUACGGGACACUUGCUUUUCAUAGUUUGACUCUAUGUGGGUUUUAAUCUGCCUGGCUCCCAUGCCAGAAAACCCAGUAGACGCCCAUCUAGCGAGGCUGCUGGUUCCGGCACCGCACGUGGUGCCGGAGAAGAAGGCCAAGAAGGAGGCCACGGGUGCUCGAAAGAGUUCCCGUUUUCAGGUGUCCGACGACUGCGGGGCGGACUCCUCCCCCGAAAACGAGGAGGAGAAAGAGGACUCUCCCCCAGAGGAGGGAGACAGGAAGAGGAAGGCUUCCCCAACAGGGGAGGCCGAAGGGUCCAAGAGGGGAAGGACUAUUCCCCCGGACAGCUCCGCCAACAUCAACGUUGGCGAGGAAGAAUGGCCUUCAAGGGCCAGGCCUCCGGCAAGAUCGUAAGUAUCCGGAUUCCUGAAUGAGUUAUAAUUUCUUUUUCUGCGUCACAUAGUGUCAUUCUGAUGCCUCAUGCUGCCUGUAGUCCGGCCAACGAUGAUCUCCCCGCUUCCUCGAGCGGGUCGUUGGCUCCGUCGGAGGUAGACUCCAUCCCGACCGCCUCCACCCCUCGCGAUACCGAGGACGCCGAGGUUGGAUCCCAAGAAGGGACCCAUCAGGGGGAGGCUCCGGAGGCGCCACAAGGCGGCCUCCCGGACUUUGCGCCGGACUCCAUAUCAGAACCCGCAGUGGUUUCGGAGUCCGGCCGGCGGCCCCUUCGCACGAAGGGCAAGACCGUGACGCCGGCGGCUUCCGUCCAACCGGAGGCGCCGGACAAUUUGUUGGAGGCGCUCCAGAGCGCUUCCAUCGAGGAAGAACACCACACUAUUAUGAGUGCGGUGAUUCAGAAGGUACAGCUCGCCAAGAGCGGGCUGACCGAAGCCUGCAGUAGCCUUCUAUCAGGCUUUGAGGUAAGGAGUUAAAAAUAUGCAAUGUAAUACCGCAUAGACAGUAGCCCCUGAUGCUCGGUUCGGUGUUCGAAAAGAAAAGCCGGACUGAGGAUCUGAAAAAAAAGAAGAUAUACGCAGGGUUGCUAAAAAAAUAUGUCAAUAUGGGUUGCAGGCUGCGCUGCUGACCUCUGCCACACUGACUACGGAGGUCGAUGCUUUGAAGCAGGAGCUCGAGCGGUCCGAGAAAGAGCUCGGCCGCGCCAAGAAGCAGCUCCAGGACAAAGAAGGUGAGUAACACCACUUUGAACUUGUACCUUAUAGAAAAGGAUUUAGGUUGCAACAAAAAAUAACAAGGAUAACAUGGGUACUGCAGGGGCCACAAACGAGGUGGCGACCCUGAAGGAGGCCAUGUCCGCGGCCGAACGCAAUGCGGCCGCGGAACAUGCAGGGCGAGAAAAGCAGGAGGCGCAGGUGGCGGUGGUUCGGCAAGAGCUCCAGGCUCUCGUGGAGAAGCAUGAGAGUUUGGAGCGUGACUCAAAGACUCGAGAGUCCGAGCUUGCCUCGGCUCUCGAAAGUGCCAAAACUGCCAAGGCCGAUGCCUAUAAGUCCCUUCAGGAGAUUGAGUUGGUGAGGAAGAUAGCGGCGGGUAAGGCAUUUUUCAUGCAAAGCAAGCAUGUGAAUGUAAAUUACGUGUUACUUACCCAUAUUCGGAGCUCUCCAGGGGCGUUUGCAGAUCUGCCUCGCAGUGUGUCUGAUGCCGCCGCAUUCUAUCGAGCCGAGGAGGGGAGCUCAACGGAGAAGGUCUUCUGGUCUCAGUAUGCUGAGGCCGGCCAUCCGGUGCCCCCUAGCGACCAGCUGAAGCAGCUGGUCAAGCUCCACAAGGCGGCCGAGCAGGCCAUGAAGGGCCUCAUAGACCGGCUGUGGCCUGGAGAGGCCAUGCCUGGGAGCUACUUCGGCCUCGUGCGACGGUUGGUGGAUGCGUGCCCCUGGGUGGAGGUUAUCAAGCGCUCCGCCUGUAUUGAAGGUGCUCGUCGGGCCCUUGCCCGUGCAAAGGUGCAUUGGGGCAAGCUGGAUGCGGAGAAGCUAAUCACUGAUGCGCCACCAGCGGGCAAGGAAUAUCACACGCCCGAAAUGUACUAUAAGACUGUCCUGAAGGGUGCCCGCAAGAUUGCGGGUGAGUGCCCUAGGGAUGUAAUUAUUGAGUAAAUUCGCAAUGUGUUAUCCUGUGCACUGAAAACUUUGUUCAUAUGCGCUAAGCAACGCUUGUUAAUUUAAAAUAUUACCUUCUGUGCGGCCGUUUAUAAAAUCUGAGAGAUAGCAAGUCGUCGGCUUCAGCCCCCAUGCCACGAGUGCUGGGGUGUUCGGGAUAAACUUGAGCACUCUUGUUCCCAUUUUUGGGUCCAUCUAGGGAGGCGCUCAACACAACGAACAAGGCAACCAGACUUAUAGUGCUUGAACACUCUUACUUAGCCAUAGAAUUCUAUAAUAUUAAAUUUCGGUGAAGCCCCUAGUAUUCGGAAGACCGAAUUAGGGGCGCUAUCCACGCCUUCGUCGGAUAUUAUCCAGAACUUCGCUCGAAGCGGUGUAGGUCUUUAAGGACCCGAAAGGACCUCUCAAACAGCGACCAGUCUCUCGCUUUAUCAUGACAGUCAGUUUUAGCUUUCUCCACUGAGGCGUUAACCCGGCUCAACCGGGGCGCAAUCGCAGUGGUUCUCCCAGUGCUACCUUAGCCGAUAGAACGGAACGUAAGGUGCCGAACAUGGGAGCCGGGCAAACCCAACUAUUGACCCAAGACAUGAUUCGGAGCCGAUUCAUAUAAUGCUAUAAGUUCGGGGUGCCGCACUUGUGAAAGUGUUCGGACUUUAUCACACCAUAAUGCGGGGAACAUAAGCCCCUGGUGUAUUUGGCCGUACCAAAAUGUACGGAUGCAACAUGUCGGAAAUGAACAUAUAUAUAUAAGGUAAUGCAAUUAUGGGAAAAAAGUGCUGCAUUUUAUUCGAGAAGAUCUGCUAUGAGUGCGGAAUGAUACAAAUAGUGCGGAAAGCAAGGGAUUGGACGAAUUAAAGGCGUCUCCCUCCAGGGGUAGGCCGCAGAAUGGUGUAUUUAACAAAAUUAAUGCUCGUAAUGGAGACCACCUGAGUGUUCGUCGCGGCCUUUGUCCCUCCCUGGCUGUUGCAUCAUGAGUUCAGCAGGCUCGCCGCUGGACAGAGUUCUGUAUAAAAAAGAGAGAAAUAAAUGAUAAAAAGAGCGACACACUUGGGAGCCCCUGGUGUGGUCGAACCGCACUCUGGGUCUGUUGUGGUUGUGCCUCUCCCCCUAUGCCCAUGGUAUCUCCAGGGCGUAAUUAUGUACGUGGAGAGUUUGUCUUACAAUUGUGCGAGGGCUGGGGUUGAGGCCGCAUUACUACGCGUGCUCGGAACGUGCCAGGUGGUCUUGGUUGAUGUUGCUCCAGGCGCGUUUGGCCGUGUCUGGUCGUUUAACGGCCGAACUCGAAAAUUGCCUUAAAAGGCUGCUCUGUACUUCUGCCGCGUGAGCCGCUGUAUGUUCCUCCAUUCGGAGGGAGCGUUCCGUGUUUCCAUUGACCGUGAUGACUCCACGAGGGCCUGGCAUCUUGAGCUUAAGUAUGCAUAAUGCGGCACCACGUUGAAUUUUGCGAACGCGGUUCGUCCGAGCAGAGCAUGAUAGCCACUGCGGAAUGGGACUAUGUCGAAGAUUAACUCCUCGCUUCGGAAAUUAUCCGGGGAUCCGAAGACCACUUCUAGUGUAACUGAGCCUGUACAACUGGCCUCGACACCUGGUAUGGCGCGUUUGAAGUUUGUCUUUGUAGGUUUAAUCCUUGAAGGGUCUAUGCCCAUCUUGCGCACUGUAUCCUGAUAAAGCAGGUUCAGGCUACUGCCGCCGUCCAUCAGGACUCUCGUGAGGUGAAAUCCAUCGAUGAUUGGGUCUAAAACCAAUGCAGCGAAUCUGCCAUGGCGGAUACUGGUCGGAUGGUCUCUUCGAUCGAAAGUGAUCGGGCAAGAGGACCAUGGGUUGAAUUUUGGGGCGACUGGCUCCAUCGCGUAUACGUCCCUGAGUGCAUGCUUCCGCUCCCUCUUAGGAAUAUGCGUUGCGUAUAUCAUGUUUACAGUCCGAACUUGAGGGGGGAAUCCCUUUUGUCCUCUGUUGUUCGGCGGCCGGGUCUCUUCCUCGUCAUCGCUGUGUAGCCCUUGUCAUUGUUUUCGGCGAUUAAUUUGCCUGCCUGCUUGAAUACCCAACAAUCUCUGUUGGUGUGGUUAGCUGGCUUUUCGGGGGUUCCAUGUAUUUGACAGGAGCGGUCGAGUAUUCGGUCCAAAUUGGACGGGCCCGGAGUGGUUCUUUUGAAUGGCUUCUUCCGUUGACCGGGCUUGGAGCCUCGGAAUCCGGCGUUGACUGUCGUAUCCUCAUUGCUGUCGCCGUUAAUGUGGCGUUUGUUUUUGUUUUGACGCGACCUGCCAUUGCGGUCCUUGGUAUCCGGACUGCCAGCGUUUUUGCUGAGGUUGUUGCUGCAAGCUAGCCAGCUAUCCUCUCCCGCAUAGAAGCGGGUCAUGAGUGAUGCGAGGGCUGCCAUGGAUUUCGGCUUUUCCUUUCCUAGGUGCCGGGCCAGCCACUCGUCGCGGAUGUUAUGUUUGAAGGCAACGAGGGCCUCUGCAUCCGGACAGUUGAUGAUUUGAUUUUUCUUUGCUAAGAACCGUGUCCAGAAUUGCCUGGCCGAUUCGUCUGGCUGCUGGAUUAUGUGGCUUAGGUCAUCUGCGUCCGGUGGUCGCACAUACGUGCCCUGGAAGUUGUCGAGGAAUGCGUCUUCCCGGUCUUCCCAGCAUUCAAUUGACUCUGCGGGCAGGCUGUUAAGCCAAUGCCGAGCUGGUCCUUUAAGCUUGAGCGGGAGAUAUUUGAUGGCGUGGAGAUCGUCGCCGCGGGCCAUAUGUAUAUGGAGGAGAUAAUCCUCAAUCCAAACCGCCGGGUCUGUUGUGCCAUCGUAGGAUUCGAUAUUAACGGGUUAAAACCCUUCAGGGAUUUGAUGAUCCAUUACUUCGUCAGUGAAGCAUAGUGGGUGUGCGGCGCCUCUGUAUUGAGCAAUAUCGCGACGUAGCUCGAGAGAGCGUUGUCUGCUGUGUUCGGCCCGGCCGGAGUAGUUGUAUCCGGCGCGACGGUGUUCGUCGUGGGUCUUGGGGCGCCCACGUGAUCCAUAGAUAGAUCUGGAUUGUCGUGCCUUGUCCUCCAAUAUAUCCCGCAAGUCCGGCGCGUUCCCCCAUGGCUUCAUGCUUUUUGAGCGAUGCCGGGGUACGGUUUUGGUGGAGGGCUUGCAGGCCUCUCUGUCGCGGCCACGCGGUGGUCGGUCUGCCAUACUGUGCGCUGGUGAUGCAGGUUUGUAUGCUUCCUCCUCUAGUCAGGGGAGCAACUUGCGUUUUGGGUAACUUUUGGAGGGGCGUUCGAGUUCAUACUCUUCGGCCGUGAGGACCUCGGUCCAUCUGUCGGCCAGUAGGUCUUGAGCAGCUUGAAGCUGUUGCUGCUUUUUCUUUAGGCUGUUUGCCGUGGCCAUUAGCCUGCGUCUGAAACGCUCUUGUUCGACGGGAUCCUCAGGCACGACGAAUUCGUCGUCGUCGAGGCUUGCCUCGUCUCCAAAGGGAGGUAAGUAAUUAUCAUCCUCGACCUCUUCGUCUGCCGCCCUCUCGUGAGGGCUUGCUUCUGCCUCCUCCUGCGCUGGAUCGUGCUGGAGGGGGUUGUCUUCGACACUUUCUGGGGUGUUAUUAUCUCCUGUGCCGGAAUCUCCAUUCUUGCUGUGGCGAGAUUUAGAGCGGCGCCUCUGACGUCGGCGCUUGGGCUGUUUCUUUAAGGAAUCGGCCUCCGUUGCUUCUUCGCCGUCCCCAUCUUUUGGGGUGUCCACCAUAUAUAUGUCGUAUGACGAGGUGGUCUUCGGCAUCGUCGUCCAUACCGUUGAUGUCUUCGGAGUCGUAGUCGAGUACGUCGGUUAGAUCGUCGACGGUGGCUACGAAGUGGGUGGUGGGUGGGCUCUGAAUUUCUUCAUCGUCCGCAUCCCAACCAUCCUGGCCGUAGUUCGGCCAGGGCUCUCCGGAUAGCGAGAGAUGCUUCAGCGAAUUUAAGAUAUCGCCGAAGGGUGAGUGCUGAGAGAUGUCCGCAGCGGUGAAUUCCAUGAUCGGCGCCCAGUCGGAUUCGACUGGCAGGGGCGCGUGAGGUUCGGAGUCCGGCACCUCGGAGUCAUGAGCUUUAUGCGGGACAAGGUAAGUGUUCGGCUCCAUCGCCAUAGAAGUUGCAGCUCCCGAGGCGGUGUCCAGCCAUCCGUCCUCGAUCUGAGCGAUCGGCUCCAGACUAUGGGUCGGAGCGGAUUCAUGUGCGGCCUCCAAGGUGCUUUCCGGCGGCAAAGUUAGGUCGUGCCCAUCGUGACGGCGCGGUGCGCUCGGCUGUGGCUCUGAUCCAUCGAAGAUAAAGUCCCCGCGGAUAUCGGCCGUGAAGUUUAGGCUUCUGAACCUGACCUGACGGCCAGGGGCAUAGCUUUCGAUCUGCUCCAGAUGGCCAAGUGAGUUGGCCCGCAGUGCGAAGCCGCCGAAUACGAAGAUCUGUUCGGGGAGAAAAGCCUCACCCAGGACUGCGUCGUUGUCGAUUGAAGAGGCCAUCAAGCCUAUCGGUGACGACAUAGAGGAACUCUCAAUGAAAGCACCAAUGUCGGUGUCAAAACCGGCGGAUCUCGGGUAGGGGGUCCCGAACUGUGCGUCUAGGUGGAUGGUAACAGGAGACAAGGGACACGAUGUUUUACCCAGGUUCGGGCCCUCUCGAUGGAGGUAAAACCCUACGUCCUGCUUGAUUGAUAUUGAUAUUGUGAAUGUUUACAAGAGUGGAUCUACCACGAGAUCAAGGAGGCUAAACCCUAGAAGCUAGCCUAUGGUAUGAUUGUAAUGGUUGUUGUUGUGUCCUACGGACUAGAGCCAUCCGGUUUAUAUAGACACCGGAGAGGGCUAGGGUUACAUAGAGUCGGUUACAAUGGUAGGAGAUCUACGUAUCCGUAUCGCCAAGCUUGCCUUCCACGCCAAGGAAAGUCCCAUCCGGACAUGGGACGAAGUCUUCAAUCUUGUAUCUUCAUAGUCUUGGAGUCCGGUCGAUGAUGAUAGUCCGGCCGAUGAUAGUUCGGCUGAUGAUGGUAGUCCGGCUAUCCGGACACCCCCUAAUCUAGGACUCCCUCAACUGGAUUGUCUUCAAUUGGAUGGGGGAAUCCAAUUGACAGCCUCGAUUUGUAUCCUAGCUCGUCUAAGAGCGAGCUUCGCUUCAACCAAAUCUUUCGUACCCUCAGCUUUACUCAAGUUAGCUUCGGCUAUUUCAAGUGCCUUUUGAGCUUCUUCCGGAUCAAUAUCACUACCCAGUUUUUCCUAAAAUGAUGAUCCCAUUAUUAACUAUUCUCGCAAAACUGCUCCACAGAACCGCUGUUAACCAUUGGUCGUUGAGGAGGCGUAUUCUCAAAGGACCCAUAUCUACUGCUGUGUUAAUGGGGGCGUGGUUUGGUAAUACGCCAAUUUGGCCACUAUUAGUGGAUAAAAUGAUUUCUUUCACCUCACAAUCCCAAAUAAUUCGCUUAGGAGUCAGUACAUAAAGAUUUAAUUUCAUUUCUGUGAUUUGUUCUCCUCUUCUAAGGUUAUAGCUUUCGUGCUAGCUUCAUCGAUGUUACCCACCAAAUAAAAAGCCUGUUCAGGUAGGCCGUCUAAUUCUCCGGAAAGGAUUAGUUGAAAUCCCCUAAUAGUUUCCGCAAGAGCAACAUACUUUCCUGGAGAACCAGUAAAAACUUCUGCCACAAAGAACGGUUGUGAUAAGAAACGCUCAAUUUUUCUUGCUCUUGCUACAGUUAAAUGAUCCUCUUCCGAUAAUUCAUCCAAGCCAAGAAUUGGAAUAAUGUCCUGAAGUUCUUUGUAACGUUGUAAAGUUUCCUUAACUCUUUGCGCAGUUUCAUAAUGUUCGUUGCCAACGAUCUGAGGCUGUAACAUAGUCGAGGUUGAAUCUAAAGGAUCUAUUGCUGGAUAAAUACCCUUGGAAGCUAAUCCUCUGGAAAGUAUGGUAGUAGCAUCCAAAUGUGCAAAUGUUGUGGCAGGGGCAGGGUCGGUCAAAUCGUCUGCAGGUACAUAAACUACUUGAAUCGAAGUUAUAGAUCCCUUUUUAGUAGAAGCAAUUCUUUCUUGCAAAGAACCCAUUUCUGUACUAAGAGUAGGUUGAUAACCCACUGCGGAGGGCAUUCUCCCUAAUAAAGCGGAUACCUCUGAUCCUGCUUGAACAAAACGAAAGAUAUUAUCGAUAAAUAAAAGCACGUCUUGCUUAUUAACAUCUCGGAAAUAUUCCGCCAUAGUUAGGGCAGUUAAACCAACUCUCAUAUGAGCUCCCGGUGGUUCAUUCAUUUGGCCAUAGACUAGAGCUACCUUUGAUUCCUCAAUAUUUUUUUCAUUAAUUACUCUGGAUUCCUUCAUUUCCAUAUAAAGAUCAUUUCCUUCACGAGUCCGUUCCCCUACUCCACCGAAUACGGAUACGCCCCCAUGAGCUUUAGCAAUGUUAUUGAUUAAUUCCAUGAUCAGUACUGUUUUACCUACUCCAGCCCCCCCAAAUAGUCCUAUUUUUCCUCCACGUCAAUAAGGAGCUAAAAGAUCGACGACCUUAAUACCUGUUUCAAAGAUGGAUAAUUUCGUAUCUAACUCGAUAAAGGCAGGCGCAGAUCUAUGAAUAGGGAACAUUGCACUACUAUCUACAGGACCCAAAUUGUCAACAGGCUCCCCAAGAACGUUGAAAAUUCGUCCAAGAGUAGCUCCAUCGACCGGAACACUGAGAGGAGCUCCCGUGUCAAUCACUUCCAUUCCUCUCAUCAACCCGUCCGUAGCACUCAUAGCUACAUCUCUAACUCGAUUAUUUCCUAAUAAUUGUUGUACCUCACAAGUCACAUUAAUUUGCUUAUCAUCAGUGUCUCUACUCUGGACUACCAAAGCGUUAUAAAUAUAAGGUAACUUGCCUGGGGGAAAAGUGACAUCCAGCACGAGUCCAAUAAUUUGAUCUAUACGACCUGUACUUUUUUCUUCAAUUGUGGAAGCCCCGGGAGGAGAAGUAGUAGGAUUGGUUCUCAUAAUUAUCACAUAAUUAAAAAAAGGAAUUUGUCGAAAUUUUUCUUUUCUUAUUGUUGAAUAAUGCCAAAUCAAAUCAAAAAAAAUCCAAAAGUAAAAAGGAAAUGAAUUAGUUAAUUCAAUAAGAGAGAAAAGGGGACCAGGACUUGAUUUCGUUGCCCAAGCGAAUCCCAUUCAAUUGUUUACUCAUGGAAUGAGUCCGUUGGAAAGUUCAAUCAAUCUUUUUUUCAUAUACAUUUUGCCUUUUGUGGAGGAUCUGUGCCUACUCUACUUUCCUAUCUAGGACUUCGAUAUACAAAAUAUAUACUACUGUGAAGCAUAGAUUGCUGUCAACAAAGAAUUUUAUUAGUAUUUAGUUAGGUAUUUGCAUUCAAAAUAAGAAAAGAGAACUAUUAAGAACUUUUAAAAUAAGGAUUAGGAAUUAAUUUGGGUUGCGCUAUAUCUAUCAAAGAGUAUACAAUAAUUAUGGAUUUGGUAAAUCAAAUCCAUGGUUUAAUAACGAAUUGUGUUAACUUACCAUAACAACAACUCAAUUCCUAUCGAAUUCCUAUAGUGGAAUUCCUAUAGGAUAGAACAUACACAGGGUGUACGCAUUAUAUAUGAAUCAAACAUAUUCAUUAACCUAAGCAUGCCCUCAAUUUUCUUUACUGAGUUGAUAUUAUAUUAAUUGAAUAUCCUUUUUGUUUUACGAGAUUUUUGCUAAAGUUUCAUUUAUGCCUAAUUAACAUCGAGUAGACCCUGUUAUUGUGAGAAUUCUUAAUUCAAGAGUUAUAGGGAGGGACUUAUGUCACCACAAACAGAAACUAAAGCAGGUGUUGGAUUUAAAGCUGGUGUUAAAGAUUAUAAAUUGACUUACUACACCCCAGAGUAUGAAACUAAGGAUACUGAUAUCUUGGCAGCAUUCCGAGUAUGUAUUCGUAAAUUAUGUUGCUCAGAAAUUAUAAACAAUAAUUGUUUGUCUUAGUCCUAUAUCUGUCGUUAUUUACUUGCGUCACCAUAUUAUUUUUGAACCAGGUUUUUGAGCAUGAGAGCUAAUACAUCUCCGUCGUGUCUACUUUUCCUAACACUUCUGCUCUUGUUUUGGACUCUAAUUUGAAUGAUUUGAAUGAAACUAACCCGGUCUGACGCCGUUUUCAGCAGAACUACCAUGGUGUUGUUUUUGUGCAGAAAUAAAAGUUCUCGGAAUGGAACAGAACUUUUUGGAGAAUUAUUUUAGAAUAAAUAAAAAUACUGGCACUAAGAACCACCGGAGGGGGUGCCCUGGGUGAGCAUGAUACACGAGGGUGCGCCAUCCCCUCCAGGCAUGCCCUGGUGGGUUGUGCCCAUCCCGUGGGCCCCUGACCCUAAUUCCGACGCUAUAAAUACCUAUUUUUGGAGAGAAAAAUCAGAAAGGAGGAAUUAUCAUGUUUCACGAGACAGAGUCACCGAGGGAGUCCUGGAUUAAGGGGUCCUCGGAUAGCCGGACUGUAUACUUUGGCCGGACUAUUGGACUAUGAAGAUACAAGAUUGAAGAAUUCGUCCCGUGUCCGAGUGGGACUCUCCUUUGCGUGGAAGGAAAGCUUGGCAAUUCGGAUAUGUAGAUCUCCUUUUCUGUAACCGAAUCUGUGUAACCCUAUCCCCCUCCGGUGUCUAUAUAAACCAGAGGGUUUAGUCCGUAGGACAACAACAAUCAUAAUCAUAGGCUAGCUUCUAGGGUUUAGCCUCUAUGAUCUCGUGGUAGAUCAAAUCUUGUAAUACUCAUAUCAUCAAGAUCAAUCAAGCAGGAAGUAGGGUAUUACCUCCAUCAAGAGGGCCUGAACCUGGGUAAAACAUCGUGUCCCCUGCCUCCUGUUACCAUUAGCCUUAGACGCACAGUUUGGGACCCCCUACCCAAGAUCUGCCGGUUUUGACACCGACAUUGGUGCUUUCAUUGAGAGUUCUACUGUGUUGCCGCGGUAAGGCUUGAUGGCUCCUUCGAUCAUCAUCAACGAUGCGGUCCAGGGGGAGGUUUUCCUUCCCGGACAGAUCUUCGUAUUCGGCGGCUUCGUAUUGUAGGACAACUCGCUUGGCCAUCUGGAGCAGAUCGAUAGCUACGCCCCUGGCCAUCCGGUCAGGUUCGGAAGCUUGAACUAUACUGCCGACAUCCGCGGAGACUUGAUCAUCGAUGGAUUCGAGCCCAUGUCAGGUGCGCCGAACGGUCACGACGGGCAUGACUUUGAUCUGCCAUCGGACAGUGUUCGGGAGAUCGCGCCUGCGGUGGCGCCGGGAAUCAAUCCGGAGCAGAUCGUGCCUUCCGAGGAUGGGUGGAUAGACCCAGCCACAGAGGCCGCACACUCAUCGGCGUUGGAGCCGAACACUGAUCCCACCUCCUGUAAAGGUGGUGUCAUAGGACCCUCGGACUCGUCUCCGGCUACAAGAUCCGAACCGCGUACGUCCAUGCCUAUCAAAUCUGAUUGGGCACCGGUCAUGGAGUUCACCGCCACGGAUAUUUUUUAGCACUCGCCCUUGGGUGAUGUGCUAAACUCAUUAAGUUCUCUUUCCUUGUCGGGAGAUUCUUGGCCGAACUAUGUCCGGCUCGAGUGGUAAGCGGACGACGAAGAACUUAAUGAGGCGCCCCUUAAUCCAUGACACCUAAUCCUCUCCGCCUUCCUUAUCCAGUCCUGGCAGAGAGCAAUUUUUUAGAAUGAUGUUAUAAUAAACAUAAAGGAUGGUGUGUUCGGUAGUGUAAUUACUUACUUGGGUAUCCGGACGGUUACAGUUGAGACCCACAUCCUCGGUGGUGUCCGGACACUUUAUUCUUGAUCCGAAGAAUGACGCAUACAUCUCUUUGAGCAUCAUGCCGAAGAAUUGUUGAAUGGUUCGCGGUCCUUCUGGGUUGAACUCCCACAUACGGAGAGGACGAUGUUGGCAGGGCAGGACUCGACGAACCAACAUCACUUGCAUUAUCUUGAAAAGGCUGAUGUCCUUCUUAAGAAGGUCUCGGAUGUGGCUUUGUAGCGUCAGCACGUCGUUAACUGGCCCCCAAUCCAGCCCCUUGUUGACCCAUGACGCCAGUUGCGGCGGAGGGCCCGGGCGGAACGCUGGAGCGGCCGCUCGCUUUGUACCUCGGGGAGCUGUGAUGUAAAACCACUCCCGUUGCCACAAGUCAGAAGUGUCUGUGAAGGAACCCUUUGGCCAUGGGGCGUCGGCGCCUUUUCUUAUUGUAGCGCCUCCGUACUCCAUGUGACGCCCGUCAAUCACCUUCGGCCUCACAUUGAAGGUCUUGAGACAUAGGACGAAGUGGGGAGUAAUGCGGAGAAAGGCUUCACACACGACGAUAAAUGAUGAGAUGUGAAGGAUGGAAUCCGGAGCUAGAUCAUGGAAAUCUAGCCCGUAAUAGAACAUGAGCCCCCUCAUGAAGGGAUCAAGACUAAAACCUAGCCCUCGGAGGAAGUGGGAAAUAAAUACAACACUCUCGUUGGGUUCAGGAGUGGGGAUGACCUACCCUGGAGCGGGCAGCCUGUGCAGGAUUUCAGUGGUAAGAUACCUGGCCUCCCUAAGCUUCUUGAUGGCCUCCUCUGUGACCACCGGCCUUGAAGGUUGGAUCCGGACAUGGUCGAAGGUCCGAAGUGCUUAAGCUUGAGCCUUGGGUGUUGGAACUCGAGGCGCGGGAGGGGAAGGAUUGAGCGUGGGAAGAAAAGGACAAGCCUUGGCUCCCCUUAUAAAGAGGACGAAUAUCAAGCAUCCCCCGCGUGACCGCUUGGGACUUGCCUAAAAUCGAGGAUUCAUAUUAAACAAACACGGUUCGGUUACCCACACCUGUAUUGAUGAGAAUCCCAUGAUAAGGGGAACACGAUCUCUGCUUCGACAAGACAUGCCAAUAAAACCGCCUCGCAGCACGCGUAGUGGCUAGUUAUGAAAAACGGUUCGAAUAAAGAUCGGACCGCGGCGUGAUCUCAGAAAAAAGCUGUCAGCAGAUCAGGUCUGUGGAAUAUUGUACUCUCUACGGUGGUAUGUGGAAUUUGUUUUGCAGAUCUGGACACGAUUCUCGUGUUCAAAAUCUUCUAUGGAGUAUUCGAAGAAGGAACCUGCCUUGCAAUGCCGAGGACAAUCUGCGUGCCGGACUCAUCGUCAUUGAAGCCUGGUUUAGGGGCUACUGAGGGAGUCCUGGAUUAAGGGGUCCUCGGACAGCCGGACUGUAUACUUUGGCCGGACUGUUGGACUAUGAAGAUACAAGAUUGAAGACUUCAUCCCGUGUCCGGGUGGGACUCUCCUUUGCGUGGAAGGCAAGCUUGGCAAUUUGGAUAUGUAGAUCUCCUUCUCUGUAACCAACUCUGUGUAACCCUAGCCCCCUUCGGUGUCUAUAUAAACCGGAGGGUUUAGUCCGUAGGACAACAGCAAUCAUAAUCAUAGGCUAGCUUCUAGGGUUUAGCCUCUACGAUCUCAUGGUAGAUCAACUCUUGUAAUACUCAUAUCAUCAAGAUCAAUCAAGCAGGAAGUAGGGUAUUACCUCCAUCGAGAGGGCCCAAACCUGGGUAAAACAUUGUGUCCCCUGCCUCCUGUUACCAUUAGCCUUAGACUCACAGUUCGGGACCCCCUACCCAAGAUCCGCCGGUUUUGACACCGACAGUCGCCACCACCUCAUGUUCUUCAUUGGGAGGCCAUAUCUAGAGUCUGUUUGGGGCUCCGGAGAGGGGAAUCUUCGGUCUUUGUCAUCACCAACCCUCCUUCAUCGCUAAUUCCAUGUUGCUCCCCACCGGGAAUGAGUAAUUCAUUCGUAGGCUCGCUGGUCGAUGAGGAGUUGGAUGAUAUUCAUCAUGUAAUCAAGUUAGUUUUGCUAGGGCUUGAUCCCUAGUAUCCACUAUGUUAUGAGAUUGAUGUUGCUAUGACUUUGCUAUGCUUAAUGCUUGUCACUAGGGCUGGAGUUCCAUGAAUUCAGAUCUGAACCGUUUAUGUUUUCACCAUUAUAUCUAUGUUCUAGAUCCGUAAACCCCGGGAUGACAAUAAUCGGGAUACUUUUCGGUGAUGACCGUAGUUUGAGGAGUUUCAUGUAUUCACUAUGCGUUAAUGCUUUGUUCCGGUUCUCUAGUGAAAGGAGGCCUUAAUAUCCCUUAGUUUCCAUAUGGACCCCGCUACCACGGGAGGGUAGGACAAAAAGAUGCCAUGCAAGUUCUUUUCAUAAGCACGUAUGACUAUUUACGGAAUACAUGCCUAUAUUAUAUUUAUGAACUUGAGCUAGUUCUGUAUCACCCUCGGUUAUGACUGUUAUAUGACGAAUAUCAUCCAACGAAUUCACCGAUCCAAUGCCUACGAGUUUUCCACAUAUUGCUCUUGCUAAGUUACUACUGCUAUUGCUACUGUUACAACUGCUACAAAAUCAUUGCUAUCACUGUUACCGUUAUUGUUACUGCUACCACUACUAUCAAAACUAUCAUAUUAUUGUGCUACUGAUGACUGUGCUGCAAAUAUUUAAUCUCCAGGUGUGGUUGAAUUGACAACUCAACUGUUAAUACUUGCAAAUAUUCUUUGCUCCCCUUGUGUCGAAUCUAUAAAUUUGGGUUGAAUACUCUACCCACGAAAACUGUUGCGAUCCCCUAUUCUUGUGGGUUAUCAAGACCCUUUUCUGGUGCCAUUGCCGGGAAGCAUAGCUGAGUCACUUGGGAUUAUUAUCUAUUUAUCACUAUGAAGAAUCUGAAGGAUACCAAAGCCAAGAUUUUUUCCUCUAAGACGAGGGGAGGUAAGGAACUGUCAUCUAGCUCUGCACUCGAUUCGCCUUCUAUUUUGAGUAAACUUGCAACACCACCACAUGCUAUUAAUCCUGAUAUGUCGCAAGUUAUUGAUGAUGCCACAUCUGCUAUGAAUGAUGUUUAUGAUGAUGCUAGUACUUUGCUUGAUGAUCAUGUGGCAUUAGGUGAAUUUCUUGAUGAACGACUUGCUAGAGCUAAAGAGAAUGAAAUUACUGAGACUGAUGAAAUCAUUGAAACUGAUGAAGCACUUGAAAUUGAGAAUUAUGAAACACCUAUUAGACCUAGAUCUCCUAGAAUUGAAAUGCCUAAGAUACCUGAAGGUUAUGUUAUUGAGGAGAAGGUAGCUAGAGACAUUCUUGCUUGCAAUGAUAGAGGUGAUCUUAAGAAAUUACUAUGCAAACUAAAAGAAAAAUCUUUGAAUGCUAGAAUGAAAAGUGAUCCUAAGUUUGCUACUUCACCUAUCUUUGUUACCGAUGAGGAUUGUAAAUUAUCUGUCGACCCAGAGUUAAUUACUUUGAUUGAAUCUGAUGCUUUUCAUGGCUAUGAAUCUGAAACUGUUGUGGCACAUCUUACUGAACUAAAUGAUAUAGCCACCCUUUUUGCUAAUGAUGAGAAAGUUUGCUACUACUAUAUCCUCAAAUUGUUUCCAUUCUCAUUAAAGGGUGAUGGUAAGGUAUGGAACAAUACUUUUGCUCCUGAUUGUGUGCUUACUCCAUAGGAUAUGAUUUACUACUUCUCUGAAAAAUAUUUUCCUGUUUAGAAGAAACAAGCCGCCUUACAGGAAAUAUUUAACUUUGCGCAAAUUGAAGAAGAGAGUCUCCCACAAGCUUGGGGGAGGCUUCUGCAAUUUCUUAAUGCUUUGCCUCAUCAUCCACUUAAUAAAAAGGAAAUUCUUGAUAUCUUCUAUAAUGGACUAACUGAUGCUUCUAGGGACUUCCUAGAUAGUUGUGCUAGUUGUGUUUUCAGGGAACAAACUGUCGAACAAGCUGGAGAAUUAUUGAAUAAUAUAUUGAAGAAUUAUGAUGAUUGGAAUCUUAUAAAACCACCGCCUAAACCUGCUUCGAAGAAGAGGGGUAUCUUAUAUCUCAGUCCUGAAUAUAUGCAAGAGGCGAAGAAAUGUAUGAAGGAAAAUUGUAUUACAGUUGAGGAUGUUAAGAAUUUACCACCUAUUGAAGAAAUACAUGGCCUUAACACACCACCACCAUCACGGAUGGUAGAGGUAAAUUCUUUAUUAAAGUUUGAUAAAGGUGACAUCCCCUACAAUAAACAUCCUAGCCAAUGCUUGUAUGAGUUUGACAACUGCAUUAGAAAACAAGACCGCUUCAAUGUAGAUGUUAGGAAACAAUUGAAAUAUAAUUCUGAUAUGAUUGCUUGCUUGAGUGACUUGUUAUUUAGAAUCACUAAUGAUAUGAGGGGUGUAGGAAAACAUGCUUUUGUGGUUCAAACUCACUUAGAACAAGUAGCAAAAUCUCAAAGAGAAUUGCUUAGUGAAAUGAAUAAUAACAUAAAUGAUUUUGUUGUUAGAGUAGCAACUAGAGGAGGCAAAAUGACUCAAGAACCACUUUAUCCUAAGGGACACCCUAAAAGAAUUGAACAAGACUCUCAAAGAGUUAACACUGAUGCACAUAGUCCCACUAAAAAUAAAAAGAAGAAGAAAAAUGAUAGGACUUUGCAUACCUCUAGUGAACCUGAGAAAGAAAAAUCUUCUAAAGACAACAAGGAUGUUUCUAUUUUUGAUGUUGAAACUCAAUCUGGUAAUGAACAUCCACCUAGUGAAAAUGAAAAUGAUAAUGAUGAUGUCCAUGUAGACACUCAACCCGAAAAUGAUAACGAACCGGAUAAUGAUGUUGAAAUAGAACCUGUUGUUGAUCUUGAUAACCCACAACCUAAAAAUAAACGAUAUAAUAAAAGAGACUUUGUUGCUAGAAAACAUGGUAAAUAAAGAGAGCCAUCGGUUCAGAACCCCAUGCCCUUUCCACCUAAACCAUGUAAGAAAAAAGAUGACGAAGAAUUUGAACGCUUUACUGAAAUUCUUAGGCUAGUCUUUUUGUGUACUCGCUUGACUGAUAUUUUAAAGAUGGCCCCUUAUGCAAUAAUAUAUGAAAGAUGUCAUCACUAAUAAAAGGAAAAUACCUGAAGCUAAAAUCUCCACCAUGCUUGCUAAUUAUUCUUUUAAGGAUGGAGUACCUAAAAAACUUGGAGAUCCAGGAAUACCAACUAUACCUUGCUCCAUCAAAACAAAUUAUGUCAAAUGUGCUUUGUGUGAUUUAGAUAUGAAAGAUGUCAUCACUAAUAAAAGGAAAAUACCUGAAGCUAAAAUCUCCACCAUGCUUGAUAAUUAUUCUUUUAAGGAUGGAGUACCUAAAAAACUUGGAGAUCCAGGAAUACCAACUAUACCUUGCUCCAUCAAAACAAAUUAUGUCAAAACUGCUUUGUGUGAUUUAGGAGCUGGUGUUAGUGUUAUGACUUUCUCUUUAUAUAAAAGACUUGAUUUGAAUAAACUCACACCUAUUGAAAUAUCUUUGCAAAUUGCUGACAUAUCAAUUGCCAUACCUAUCAGUAUUUGUGAGGAUGUGCUCGUUGUUGUUGCAAAUGUUACUAUCUUAACAGACUUUGUUAUUCUUGAGAUGCCCGAUGACGACAACGUGUCGAUUAUCCUUGGUAGACCCUUUUUGAAUACUGCAGGGGUUGUUAUUGAUUGCAAUAACAGGAAGGUUAUUUUUCAUAUCAAUGGUAAUGAGCAUACAAUGCACUUUCCGAAGAAACAAUUCCAAGUGAAUGGUAUUAAUGUUAUUGAAAAAUCUCCGACACUCACUAUUGGAAGUUUUCAACUACCUCUACUUGCUGCCAAAAAGAAAUAUGACAUACUUAUCAUUGGGGACAUGCAUAUCCCCGUUGAGCUAACUUAGUGUUUUACGAAAGUACGUCGGUUUCAUGCUAACCGCGGGUUGUUGUUAAUAAGACUUGAUCAACCUUAUUAAUGGAUCAUUUUUUAGAGAUAUGAAGUUGAUGAAUUUUGUAGGCACAACCUUCUGUCCCUACCUUUUGUUUUCUGUUUUUCUUAGUUAAAUAAAAUAAAAUGCCAUGCUUAUCUUGUUUUCUGAAUUUUCCAUGCAAUAAAAAAGUGCCCCAAAAAAAAGUUCUCAAACUGCCCUAAAAUUUUAACAUGAUUUUUUUAAUAUUUCUAAAUUUCUAGCACAAAUAACAACAGAGGGGGUACCCCUGGUGAACACAAUACACCAGGGCGCGCCAACAACCCCAGGCGUGCCCUGGUGGGUUGUGGCCCCCACAUGGGUCCCCUCACUUACCUCUUUAGCCCAUGUCAUCUCUUACCUCCAGAAAAAAAUCAACAUAGCUCUCUAUUUCGUGCCCUUGCUCUCAAACCCGCGGAUUUCGAUCUCUUUGCUUGAAGCUCCAUUUCCGAAACUGUUUUGGGGGAUUGCUACUUGGUAUGUGACUCCUCCAGUGCUCCAAUUAGUUUUUUCUUCAGCGGAUUAUAUUUUGAAUAAUUAGCUACUCUUGGUGCUGCGGUAAAUGGGCUUGCAUGUUGAAUUCUUAGAGUUUGAAGUAGUUUGAAUGCUUGAUAUGGCCCCUAGGCAUCCAUAUGAGUAGUUGCUAUCAAUCUUGUGAAGUUUGGUUCACAAAAAAAUUUGUGGACUAAAUUUUUUAGAAUUUUAUUUGUAGGAAUAAGAUGAGUUUCUUUAGGAAGGUUUCUUCCAAGAAGAAUGCUAAGGGAGUUAUUGGGGAAUCAUCAGACAACGACGUCAACAUUCCGAGAACGACGGAGGUGCGGCCAUGCGAGUGGCCGCAUAAUGCCUUCAUGGAAGAGGUCGGUUCCAUCAAGAGUUCACCCAAUUUGUUGCAAAUGUUGGGCUGACCAACUUCCUCACAACUGAGUGUGACCAGCAACACCUCCUUACAAAUUCCUUUGUGCAAAGUUUUCAUUUUUUGAGUCGGAAUAAUCCUCUUGAAGUGCAGUUUAACUUAUAUGCUGAAGCUCAUUAGAUACCACUAACUGACUUCUGUGACAUAUGCUUGAUUCCCUCUGGCAGGUAAUUAAGAGAGUCUAGACCUACAGAGUUUGAGGACUUUUCUCGCACUUUGAUAGUGGGGGAUGAGAGAGGUGUGGCGAGUGUCACCAUUGUUAGUUUGCAGUUUCCUUCUGUGCACUACUUUGCUUUACUCAUCGCGAAGUGUUUAACUGCUAGAGAUAAGGUCGGUGCACUCAAUGCUCUCGACUUUGCCAUCUUACACCAUGCACUAUACAACGAUCACACCUUUAGCUGAGGGGCCAUUAUUGCACGACGUCUGCACCUUAACAGAACCAAGGGCAAAAUUCAUGGUGGUAUUUAUGCCACUCGCUUAGCGAGUCACUUUAACGUUUAGAUACGCCAACAUGAUUAUCCUCUACCCAGAGUUUAUCUAGAUCACCAGGCGAUGGUGGCUCACCAGUUUACUCAUGAUGCUGACUCUCUUAAUAAUAUUCAUUACAACCUGGUUUUCAAUGUGGAUUCCCGUGAUGUUAUUCCGUUGCCUGCACCUGCUUUGUUUGACUCUAUUGCCAGGGGCAGAUAUAGGCUCAUGCCAGAGGACAUUAUUGCCUACCUGAACAACCAGAAAGCGGUAGAGGAGGAGCCUCAGGAGUGGGGCACUCAGGUGCCACCACUAGAACACUACUACGUGGAUCCAGAGGACUACUACAGAUGGUGAUUACCAAGCUAGGCCAAAUGCCUAAGCUUGGGGAGUACGUAUUUCCAUCGACAUUACAUUCAUGUUCACACAUUUCAUUCCAGUUGUCGGUGUUCAAACUCUGAUGUGGAGCGAACUUCGAGGCAAGGGUCGAUCCAUUGUUGGCCCGAUCUUUCACGGCACAAACCUCCAUCACAGCAAGAACUAGAUGCGGGUUUACAAAGAUGUUCACAAACCUCGCAAAAACAACACGCCAACCCCUCGAUCUGAAGGAAUAACGUGGACGAACCGUAUAGGUUCAGCUUGUAAUCUCCUACGCGUCGCGUCGCGGGAACUCACACGCCGGUAGAGACUUUUGACAAGAUUUCUCAAAACUCGAUAAUGGUCGACGGCCGAAAAACACACAUGUGUCUAAUUCAUCUCAAAAUAACCUCCAUUACAUGUCACACGGACUUGGCUUUUAUAAUACAAGCCGACCCUUCUAACUUGACUCACAAGAAUUAAACUAAAUAUCUAAUUCUAUGUCUAACUCAGAACUAUAGAAAAAAACAACCUAAAUACUAACCGACUCAGACUUUGGUCUUCAGAAAAUUACACCUGAGUUGUUUUGGUGGGCCCCAUCCACUUGCACACAGGCACAAGAAAUCACGUAUCCUAGGGCGCCUCAGAUCUUUCAUCGUACGUGGCAGGAGAAUAAAUAAUAAGCAAGACAUCUUCAUAUGCCAUCUAUCUGUACUUUUAACUUGAUCUGUCGAACAUGUGUAGUAGGAAACCAAAUCGUGCCUCCUCUUGUUAGCAUACGAGGGAUCAAAUCCAUCCAUAUUCUGCAUGCCCCUUCCCCCGAUCUCAUACACAAGCUGAACACCUUUGGACCUGUUCUCAAACACGUACAAUACAUGCAACGCAUUAGCAUGGUUGGAUGAUUUUCCAUCUGAUGCAUCAGUUCUCAACCUUGGCGCGUCUAGUAAAUUAACAUGAAUAAUAUCAGCAUCAGUGGCCGCCACAUCCAUAUCAUCCUCUCCGUCUUCAAGUGAAACCGUCCUUGGUUUCAAGUCGGUCUCCUCCGCAAAAUCUUUGUUUGUAGAUUGAAUGCGUGGCAAAAAAAUUCCAGCAACUUCGGUCUUCUUCUUUGGUUCUUCUUGUCCUUUCAAUUUCUGUAGUCGUUCCUUUCUCCAUGUCCUAAACAAUUUCUUCUCCAUGGCCACCAGAGUAUAUUUCAUAUCAUGUUUGACUGUGUAAGUGUUGGCAAGACAACCGUAUGUAGCAGUGUUCUCUUUAUACCAUGGCUUUCCAAGUAGCAUAUGACAUGAAACCAUUGACACCGGAAUUAUGUUGCACAAAACUUUACAAGAAAAUUGGCUGACUGAAAAAAAUACCAUAGCUUGUUGUGUGAUGUUGAUCUUGUCAUAGCACCUCCUCAAUGAGUAUGGUCGUGGAUGAGGUGUUGCCAAUAGCUCGAGCUUAUCCACCAUGUCGAUGUCCACCACGUUGAUCGAACUGUCAUGGUCGAUUGUUGUGGCACAAACUUUCUCUCCCACUUUACAAUACAUAUGAAAAAUCUCAUCACCAUAGCCUUUCUCCUCAAGUAGAAAGUCGCUGGAUAGCCUCCAGUAGCUCCCUCGUGACCACGCAAUGACGGUCUCCUCCAAAGUGACGUGAGCAACACCGGUCUCUGAUACCACUUGAUGUGGAGCGAACUUCCUGAUGAGGGUCGAUCCGUUGUUGGCCCGAUCUUUCACGGCACAAACCUCCAUCGCAGCAAGUAGCCGUAUCAGGUUUACGAAGAUGUUUGCAAAUCCUGCGAAAACAACACGCCAACCCCUUGAUCUGAAGGAAUAACAUGGACGAACCGUAUCGGUUCAGCUUGUAAUCUCCUACACGUCGUGUCGCAGGAACUCACACGCCAACAGAGAUUUUUGACAAGGUUUCUCUCAACUCGAUAAUGGCCGACGGCCGAAACACACACGGUGUCUAAUUCAUCAUAAGAUCACCUUACUAUCAAUAUGUUUAACGAUGGCUUUUGGGGUCACAUCACUUGAUGUGGAGCGAAACUCGAGGCGAGGGUCGAUUUGUUGAUGGCCUGAUUUUUCACGGCACAAACCUCCAUCGCAGCAAGUAGCUGUAGCAGGUUUACGAAGAUGUUCACAAAUCCCGCGAAAACAACACACCAACCCCUCGAUCUGAAGGAAUAACAUGGACGAACCGUAUCGGUUCAGCUUGUAAUCUCCUACGCGUCGUGUCGCAGGAACUCACACGCCAACAGAGAUUUUUGACAAGGUUUCCCUCAACUCGAUAAUGGCCGACGGCCGAAACACACACGGUGUCUAAUUCAUCAUAAAAUCACCUUACUAUCUAUAUUUUUAACAAUGGCUUUCGGGUCACAUCAUCCUCCCUUCCUUGAAAGGAAACCGUCCUCGGUUUCAACCUGUACCUUGCAGAUUUUUUCUUGAACACCUCAAUGGUAUACUUUACAUUCUUUGCAGGGAAGAACAUAAUAAAAUUCACCCUUAUGCAUAAAAGUGUAUUUGAUUGUUAGUCCAUGAUGAAGAGCAUUAACAUCAUGAUGCCAUGGACGGCCCAAAAUAAGGUGACAAACAUGUAGUGGCAUAACAUCACAUUCCACCUUAUCAACAUAGCCAUCAACAGAAAAAGGCACCUUCACCUUGUGUGUUACUUUCACUUUGCCCACAUCAUUUAUCCACUUCAUACAAUAUGGUUUUGGAUGCUCCCAUGUUGGCAACGAAAGAGAAUCCACCACAUCCUUGCUAAUCAUGUUGCUAGCACUACCGCCAUCAAUUAUGAGUUUGCACACUUCUCCCUUGAUGGUACAUGCAGUUUGAAAAAUACUCCGCCGCUGUCCUUGUUCAACAAUGGUCUUGUCAUCUCGCUGGACCUUAUGUGAUAGCAAACUCUCCACAUCAGGAUCAUCUGGAGGAUAACAUAGUAUGGUAUCACCAUGACCUCUUUCAAUUCCAUCCUCUAACUUAGGCGUCUCAUCUUCAGAUUCUGAAAUAUAUUCGGCAUCAACAAGUAGAACCCUUCGUUGAUUGGAACAUUCAUGCUUCAUGUGUCCACGUCCUCCACACUUGUGGCAAAUAAUAUUAUGAUGAUGAGAUGAAGACGCAUUAGAUGAAACAUGAGAAAACUCCUUUGGCGCAACCGCCACUUUGCUCUGUUCAAUGCUUCCCGACUUAUAAGGAGUCGGUUUAGCACUAAACCCACCCUCAAUAGGAGAAGAACCACAUCGUCCACUAUUGUAAAUCGGACGAUUUUCUGAAACUUGCUUCUCCAAUACCCAACGUUCAUCACGCUCUGCUUAAUGAAGUAACUCAUGAAUAUCAUUAUAUUGCAUUAAAUCAACACGGUCACGAAUCUUUUCUUCCAACCCCUCAAAGAAACGUACCAUGAUCGCCUCCGCAGACUCACGCACACCUGUACGGAUCAUCAAAACUUGCAUCUCCUUAUAGUACUCAUCAACAGAUUUCGUACUUUGCACCAGACGACGUAGUCUACUAUGAAGCUGGCGAGUGUAGUAAGCAGGCACAAAACGUUCCCUCAUGAUUUGCUUCAUGUCAGCCCAUGUCGCUGGUCGCUCGUGAGUACGGUUCUUAUUAUCCCACCAUACAAGAGCAUACUCUGUAAAUUCCAUUGAUGCAACACAAACCUUCUUCUCUUCUGAGUAGUUAUGACCGUCAAAAAUCUGAUUUACUCGCAUCUCCCACUCCAAAUAUUUCUCUGGGUCAGCACAACGUCCAGAGAAUUUAGGUAUGGUUAUCUUGAUUCGACCCAAACCAUCAUCCUCGUGGGCACCAUUGCCGCCAUAGUCACGACCCCACCCAACAUGGCGGUGAGCCCCAGCAUCAUGCCGUGGUCGGUGAGGUAAGCCACCACGGGCAUCAGAAUCCUCAAAAAAAUCACCACCAUCAUCGUUGUCAUGGUCACGAUGUCGUCGUGGUGAGCGGGACUGUCGGGGUGCCACAUCUCUCGCCUGAAGGCGCUGAACUGCUGCAGUGAGCCGAUUAAGACUCUCAGUCACCACCUGUAGACUAUCAGUACACUGUCGGUCACUGGCAGUCAGACGCUCGUUCAACCUGUCCUCGACGCCUACAAUAUUUGCAGACAUUUCCUCAACCCUUGUCCCAAGCUUCUUGUUGGCUCCCUUGAUCAACAUCAGAUGGAUACGCAAAUCAUCACUUAUCUCCAGAUCCUCCGGAAGUUCAUCACCUUCCUCAUGAUCAGAUUUCUCAUGUUGUGUGUUCACCGUCUUUCAAACAAUUGAAUUAAAUAGCAGGAAAAAAUUGUACCGUGAUCAACCUUGCUCUGAAUACCACUUGAUGUGGAGAGAACCUCGAGGCGAGGGUCAAUCCGUUGUUGGCCCGAUCUUUCACGGCACAAACCUCCAUCACAGCAAGAACUAGACGCGGGUUUACAAAGAUGUUCACAAACCUCACAAAAACAACAUGCCAACCCCUCGAUCUGAAGGAAUAACAUGGAAGAACCGUAUAGGUUCAUCUUGUAAUCUCCCACGCGUUGCAUCGCAGUAACUCACACGCCAGUAGAGACUUUUGACAAGAUUUCUCAAAACUCGAUAAUGUCCGACGGCCGAAAAACACACAUGUGUCUAAUUCAUCUCAAAAUAAGCUCCAUUACAUGUCACACGGACUUGGCUUUUAUAAUACAAGCCGACCCUUCUAACUUGACUCACAAGAAUUAAACUAAAUAUCUAAUUCUAUCUCUAACUCACGGCAGAAAAAGAACUGUAGAAAAAAACAAUCUAAAUACUAACCGACUCAAACUUUGGUCUUCAGAAAAUUACACUUGAGUUGUUUUGGUGGGCCCCAUCCACUUGCACACAGGCACAAGAAAUCACGUAUCCUAGGGUGCCUCAGAUCUUUCAUCGUACGUGGCAGGAGAAUAAAUAAUAAGCAAGACAUCUUCAUAUGCCAUCUAUCUGUACUUUUAACUUGAUCUGUUGAACAUGUGUAGUAGGAAACCAAAUCGUGCCUCCUCUCGUUAUCAUAUGAGGGAUCAAAUCCAUCCAUAUUCCUUACGCCCCUUUCCCCGGUCUCAUGCACAAGCUGAACACCUUUGGACCUGUUCUCAUUCACGUACAAUACAUGCAACACAUCAGCAUGGUUGGAUGAUUUUCCAUCUAAUGCAUCAGUUUUCAACCUUGGCACAUCUAGUAAAUUAACACGAAUAAUAUCAGCAUCAGUGGCUGCCGCGUCCAUAUCACACUCUUUCAUUGUAUUAUCCAUGCUAGAUUUAUUUUGUCGCUUUCUUCUUGUGAGUUUGAAAAACUUUGAGAAAAUCCAAAAAUAUUCCUUGCUUCUUUUCAGUUUUUCUCUCUGGUUUAAAUUAGUUGUAGUAUUAAAACAAAACCCAAAAAGAUUUCUUGAUUCUUAUUUUGUUUGUUUGGAGCUUUCCCGUGUAAAUAGUUUUUCUCGUUUUUGUUCUUCCUUCUUUGAUUUGCUUUCUUCAAGAAAAACUAAAAACUCCAAAAAUAUUUCAGUGUGUUUCUCUGAAAUUCUUUUCUUUUUAUUGAGUCGUACCAAGGAGAAGACCACAAUGACAAUGUUGAGCGGCUCUCAUAUGCAUUACUGUUGAUCUAACAAAGAGCCUAAACUACCUUGUCUUCUCCUUUUGAAUAGAAUGUUUGCAAAUUCCAUCUUAGUCCAUGACACUCUUGCACUAUUAUUAUUUUCAUAUUGUUCGGUCAUGCAAGUGAAAGGCAAUAAUGACGAUAUUUUAUGAAGUGACUAUGGCAGAGAGAAGCGGGUAUGAACUCAAUUUGUUAUUGUUUUUAUAAAUAUGUUUAACCUAGUAUCCAUGAUUCAGUAUAUUAUGAUCAAACAUGUUUGCAAUAUCAAUUAGAGAUUAUAGUUUCUCAUGCCAUGCUUAAGUAGCUAGGAGUGGAUAAUGAUUUAUCUUGGAUGUCAACAUGCAUUAAAAUGAUUGUGAUGUAGUAUUGUGAUAUGGUAUCCUCCUCUAAAUGUUUCAAGUUGCUUGACUUGGCGCAUGUUCACGCAUGUAGUCGAAUCAAAAUCAAUGUAGCCUCUACGAUAUUUAUGUUCAUGGUGUUCAUAUCCUACUCAUGCUAGUAUUCAAUGUUGAUUAUGCAUAAUGCAUUAUCAUGAACAUUUUCGCUCUCUAGCUGGCCGCUUCUCAACCUAUUUGCUAACCUUCACUUGUACUAAGCAAAAAUACUGCUUGUGCAUCAAAAUCCUUAAACCAAAGUUAUUCCAGAUGAGUCCACUACAUCUACCUAUAUGCGGUAUUACCCUGCUGUUCCAAGUAAAUUUGCAUGUGCCACCUCUAAAAUUUCAAAUGAACAUCUGUUUUGUGUGCCUGGGCUGCUCAUGGAGCGACAAGGGGGUAGUCAGUAUCUUCCAUGCUAAGCGGGUUAUUCUCAUGAUGAGUGUUUAUUCACUCGUCCUUACACGAGAGGGGCGGUAAUAGGGAUUCCCAGCCCUGAAAUCAAAAAUUGCAAAUAAUUAAACAAAACUCCCCUAGGAUUGUUGUGGGUAUGGACGGUGCCCAUGGAUUCGACUAUCUGUGGAGUGUGUUUGUUGGUGGAAGGGGGGUAAACCUUUACUUUUGUCACUCGGGAACCGCCACUAAUGUGUUUAGCAUGGAAGAUAUUGAUAACUCUAGGUCGUACCAUUGACAGGAAGGGUCUACCUCCCAAAAUUAUAUUUAUCGCUGAUUUAAGCUUUGAGCUCUGGCACCUUUGCAAAUCCCUGCUUCCCUCUGCGAAGGGACUAUCUAUUUCUUUUAUGUUGAGUCAUCACCUUCUCAAACAAGCACCAGACCUGAGAGCACUAUUGUCAUCCUCAUGCAUUGUGUAUAGUUAAUGUUGAUGCAUCAUGACUGGAUCUUUACUACCAUGAAUUACAAUGUUUAUUCGCUGCUUGAACUUUGGAGGUGCUUUGCAUUUAUGUUUUGCGGUUUCAGAAAGGGCUAGCGAGAUACCACUAUUGUCAUAUUAUAUCAUGGUUGUUUUAACAAAGUGUUGCCAUUUGAGAUAUUUUAUUAUUGCUUGCUAGUUGCUUAUGCCAACAAUAUGAGUUAAUAUAAUUUCUAAGAGUUAUUUUUGACAUGGUUAGUCAUGAUCUUUGUUGAAAACCUGGGUGCUACUUAAGCUUAUUUUUGUAAAGAAGAACAAAAGAGUUCGUAAACCUUUUUCUUUAUCACUUUCAGUUUAUCAACUGAAUUUCUUGAGGACAAGCAAAGGUUUAAGCUUGGGGGAGUUGAUACGUCUCCAUCAUAUCUACUUUUACUAACACUUUUGCUCUUGUUUUGGACUCUAAUUUGCAUGAUUUGAAUGAAACUAACCCGGACUGACGCUGUUUUCAGCAGAACUACCAUGGUGUUGUUUUUGUGCAGAAAUAAAAGUUCUCGGAAUGGAACGAAACUUUUUGGAGAAUUAUUUUAUAAUAAAUAAAAAAUACUGGGACCAAGAACAAACAGAGGGGGUGCCCUGGGUGAGCACGAUACACCAAGGCGUGCCACCCCCUCCAGGCGCGCCUUGGUGGGUUGUGCCCACCUCGUGGCCCAACUGACCCUAAUUCCGACGCUAUAAUACCUAUUUUCGGAGAGAAAAAUCAGAGAGGAAGAAUUAUCGCAUUUCACAAGAUGGAUUUGCCGCCACCUCCCGUUCUUCAUUGGGAGGCCAGAUCUGGAAUCUGUUCGGGGCUCCGGAGAGGGGAAUCUUCGGUCUUCAUCAUCACCAACCCUCCUUUAUCGCCAAUUCCAUGAUGCUCCCCACUGGUAGUGAGUAAUUCCUUUGUAGGCUCGCUGGUCGGUUGAGGAGUUGGAUGAACAUCAUGUAAUCGAGUUAGUUUUGUUAGGGCUUGAUCCCUAGUAUCCACUAAGGGAAUCCUGGAUUAUGGGGUCCUCAGACAGCCGGACUAUAUACUUUGGCCGGACUGUUGGACUAUGAAGAUGCAAGCUUGAAGACUUUGUUCCGUGUCCGGAUGGGACUCUCCUUUGCAUGGAAGUCAAGCUUGGAUAUUCGGAUAUGUAGAUCUCCUUCUCUGUAACCGACUCUGUGUAACCCUAGCCCCCUCCGGUGUCUAUAUAAACCGGAGGGUUUAGUCCGUAGGACAAGAACAAUUAUAAUCAUAGGCUAGCUUCUAGGGUUUAGCCUCUAUGAUCUCGUGGUAGAUCAACUCUUGUAAUACUCAUAUCAUCAAGAUCAAUCAAGCAGGAAGUAGGGUAUUACCUCCAUCGAGAGGGCCCGAACCUGUGUAAAACAUCGUGUCCCCUGACUCCUGUUACCAUUAGCCUUAGACGUACAGUUCGGGACCCCCUACCCGACAUCUGCCGGUUUUAACACCGACAUUGGUGCUUUCAUUGAGAGUUCCACUGUGCCGUCGCAAUAAGGCUUGAUGGAUCGCCUCAUUAUCAAGGAUAACAUCACCUCCGGAGGAUCCUUGGCUGUAGGCCAAACUCUCCGGCUGGGCGGUUUCGUCAUGGCCGCCCGUUUGUUCGUCGCGCUGACGAUGACAUCGCAGGUCAUCAAAAACAAGCUUUGCGUCAGCCCGGAAUUCACCGAGCAGAUGGAUCCAAUGGAGCUUUCCUACUUGAACGAGCUCUUGGAUCGCAUCGCCGCCCUGGGGGUCUCUACGGAUUAUGAUCGGAUCGGGCUUAAACCCGACCUAAGGGAGAUUAACUCUCCGUCGGUCACCCAUCAGAUAGCGGUGGUGGACGAACAAAACAACAAUUCUUCCUCUAUCUUAAGGAUGAACUAUGUCCGGAUUCCCGAGCUCUCUGAGCCGGAUACCUGUCUACGGGAGGACGUGGCCCAGGCUCCGAACUUAGAAUCGGACAGCGGGCCACAAAUAUUUGGCAAUAUCCUGGAGCCCGAGCUGCCAAGCUCAGGAGUUCCUUCGCCCCUGGGUUCCAGAUUGGGUCAGGACAUGGAUUUAAUUUCACCCACCCACCCAGACGCAAGCGAUCUUUCCCACAUCAGACAAGAGCCCCAAGAGACAGUACACCACUUCUGGGCUAGAUUCCUCCUUGUAAUGAGCAAGUUUAAGGACUAUCACGAGGAAGAGGCAAUCCCAUUCUUUUGCAAAAAAUGCACGGACAAGGGAAUUCUCAAUGCCAUAAGUCGCCGUGACAUAGCACACUUUGCUGACCUGGCGGCCAUAGUACAGAAGUACUAGGCGAUGGAAAGCACCUGGAAGACCCAAACAAAAUUCUGGGAUCCUCCGGCCCUAACUAAACCCCUCGUCCGAACUAAAAGGGUGCGCUCUCGCAAGUCACCCAAUACAAUUACAAAGAAGCCAAAGCCCUCUACAGGGCGUGGAACAGUACUGGAGGGAUGUCUCAAUAGUCCAUGCAAAAUUCACAGCACACUAGACACCAUACCAACACACAGCCUUAGAGCAUGUUGGAUACUCCGGCAGGUGGCCAAGAGCGGCGAGGACCUUCUCAUCGAUAAUACCGCAGAGCACCAUCCCGCAGAAAAUAACAAUACAAUAUUGACUGUCUUCGAGACUUUUGCCUCAAACAACAGGCGCAAGCGAGCGCUCCGCAGCCUCGCCGAAGUCUGCCAUGUCGCAGCAAUAAACCCGUGGAACGACACGGCCAUAACCUUCAACACCAACGAUGAACCUCAAUUCUGAACAGUCCGAGCACCAGCCGCUUUGGUCCUUAGUCCAAUAGUGGACGGAUUCCUGCUUACUAAAGUGCUGAUGGACGGCGGCAGCGGAUUAAACCUCAUCUACGAGGAAACUCUUAACAAAAUGGAAAUAGAUAAGAGCCGCAUUGAGCAAAGCAGCACCACCUUCAGGGGAAUCAUCCCUAGUCGGGAGGCACAAUGCGCAGGGAAAAUCACAUUGGAUGUGGUAUUCGGCACACCGGAGAAUUAUAGGUCUGAAGAAAUCACAUUCCAAGUGGCCCCAUUUAGCAGUGGAUACCACGCCCUCUUGGGGCGAGACGCAUUCACAAGCUUCCAAGCUAUACCCCAUUACGGGUACAUGAAGCUCAAGAUGCCGGCGCCCAAUGGGAUAAUCACUCUAGCCAGUGAUCCGGACAUAGCACUCCGUGCCGAAAAUAAAAUAGCCGCACUAGCCCUGGAGGCAUUAUCUGAAGCCCUCGUGGCCGAAGAGUUAACUGCGCUGCGUUCUGCAGUGGACAGGGACGGCAUGAUACUCCACAAACGACCCAAGUCCACCUCUUUCAAACCAGCAGACGAAAUAUUCAAAUUCCAGGUCCAUCCAACGGACCCUACAAAAACAGCAUCAAUUGCGGCACAGCUGAACCCCACAAUAGACGCCGCACUACGAGAGUUCCUAAGCGAGAAUUGGGACGUUUUCGCCUGGCAUCCUUCAGACAUGCCAAGUAUCCCACGGAGGCUGGACGAACAUAGCCUAAACAUACUAAAGGGAUACAAGCCAGUCAAAUAUACUCUUCGGCGCUUUUCAGAACCCAAGCGACAAGCCAUGGGAGAGGAGCUAGCCAAGCUACUUGAGGCCGGUUUCAUCAGAGAAAUUAAACAUCUGGACUGGCUAGCAAACCUAGUGAUGGUACCAAAGAAGGACAAAUCCUGGCGCCUAUGUGUCGAUUUCAAAGACCUUAAUAAGGCUUCCCCUAAGGAUCCCUUCCCCCUCCCCCGCAUCGAUCAAAUUAUCGAUGCUACCGUAGGACACGAUUCAUUGUGUUUCCUCGACGCAUACUCCGGAUACCAUCAAAUCAAGAUGGCGGAGUUCGAUCAAGCCGCUACGACAUUUAUCACUCCAUACGGUCCCUUCUGUUUUAACACCAUGUCUUUCUGGCUCAAAAAUUCCGGUGCAACCUAUCAAUGCAUGAUUGAGACAUGCCUGGAAACACAAAUCGGCAAAACAAUGGAGGCUUACGUAGACGAUGUGGUCAUUAAAACCAGACAUGUCGAAUCAUUAAUAGACGACUUGAGGCUUACGUUCGACAAUCUCCGAACAUACGACAUCAAGCUCAACCCAGAGAAAUGCGUUUUCGGCGUACCAGCCGGAAAACUCUUGGGCUUUAUUGUCUCCAAUAGAGGAAUCGAAGCAAAUCCGGCUAAAAUCCAAGCUCUGCCAUAGUUGGCUACCCCAACAGACCUCAAGCAAAUCUAGAAAAUAACUGGAUGCGUGGCCGCCCUAAGUCGCUUUAUCUCCCGAUUAGAAGAAAAAGCGCUACCUCUUGAUCGCCUUCUUUGAUGCACCGAACACUUCGAGUGGACGGAUGCGGCUACGACAGGGCUGGAGGAAAUAAAAGCCCUCUUGGCCACCAAUCCAGUUCUGGCAGCGCCAAAUGUUGGCGAACCCAUGUUGCUAUACAUAGCUGCAACACACCAGGUUGUAAGCGCAAUGCUCAUCGUCGAACGAGAGACAGAUGGACAUAAAUUCCCAUUACAAAAGCCGGUAUACUAUGUAUCCACUGUCCUCACUCCAUGCAAGUCACGGUACCCACAUUAUCAAAAGAUAGCAUAUGCGAUCUUCAUGGCAUCCAAAAAAAUACGACACUACUUUCAACAGAGUUCAAUCAUGGUGUCUUCCGAAGUUCCACUCAAUGACAUAAUAAAUAACCGCGAUGCCACGGGCCGGAUUGCAAAAUGGGCUAUCAAGCUCCUCCCGUUUGACAUAACAUACAAACCACGGUGGGCCAUUAAGUCGCAAGUACUGGCUGACUUCAUCGUCGAAUGGACAGAAGCCGAACUCCCUAAAGAGUACGGUGCGUACUCCAAUUGGAUCAUGCACUUUGACAGCUCUAAGAUGCUAGCUGGUCUAGGGGCUGGCAUCGUCCUGACGUCCCCCACUGGAGAUACAGUCCAAUAUGUACUCCAAAUACUUUAUACAGAUUCCAACAAUGCAGCAGAGUAUGAGGUUGUGUUACACGGUCUUCGGAUGGCAGUCUCCAUGGGCAUUCAAUGUCUCGAAGUACGCGGGGAUUCAAACCUCGCAAUAUCUCAAAUAAAUGGGGACUUUGAUGCCAAGGACCCGAAAAUGGCGGCUUACCAUAAUGCUGCUCUCAAAAUGUCAGCUCGAUUCGAGGGGCUCGAUGUGGUUCGAGAAAACAAUCAAGCAGCGGAUAUCCUUGCCCGCAUGGGCGCUAAACGUGACCCUGUCCCACCAAACAAUUUUUUGGAAAGGCUGUUCAAGCCAUUUGUGGUAUGGGAAGGGGAGUCCGGCAAUACUAAUCCGGAUCUGCAUAUAACCCCAAAUCCUGAACAAUCUGACGUAAUCGGAGGCUCUACCACCGAAAUCACACCUUCGUCCCACGUGAUCAUGGCGGUCAUCGCUCCGUGGACGGAACCCUUCCUAGCUUACUUAAAUAGGCAGGAGCUCCCGAAGGACCAAAAUGAGGCACGCUACAUUCUGCGGCGCUCUAAAGCCUACAAAGUCCAUGAGGGAGAGCUUUAUAAGAAAAGCGCAAUUGGAGUGCUCCAAAGGUGCAUCUCCAAAGAGGAAGGGCGGCAACUCUUGGGUGAAAUUCAUGCCGGACUCGGCGACCACCAUGCCGCAGCUCAGGCGCUCGUGAGCAAGGCUUUUCGCACACGUUUCUACUAGCCGACAGCCCGGGCAGACGCACAAGACCUUGUCCAACACUGUGUCGGUUGCCAGCCUUUUGCAAAUCAAAGCCAUAUGCCGCCCACUGCCCUCCAAACAAUCCCCAUAACUUGGCCCUUUGCGGUCUGGGGGCUCGAUAUGGUUGGACCCCUUAAAGGACGAAGCCAUAAGAAGAAAUACUUGUUGGUCAUGGUCGAUAAAUUCACCAAAUGGAUAGAAGCCAAACCAGUUAAAACGGCCGAAUCCGGACCAGUGAUAGACUUAAUAUCCGGAGUCGUACACCGCUACGGUAUCCCCCACAACAUCAUCACCAAUAACGGCUCAAACUUCACAGCCAAUGAGGUGAAAACCUGGUGCAGCAAAAUGGGCAUAAAACUUGAUUACGCCUCCGUCUAUCACCCCCAAACAAACGGUCAAGUUGAACGAGCGAACGAUCUUAUUAUGAGCGGCAUUAAACCCAGACUAGUGCGAUCCUUGAAGGAAUCAUAUACGCACUGGGUCGAGGAUCUUGACUCCGUAUUAUGGGGACUGCGGACCAUGCCAAAUCGCACAACCAGAUACACACCAUUUUUUAUGGUGUACGGCGCAGAGGCAGUGCUACCCUGUGAUAUCAUCCAUGAUUCACCCAGAGUGCGCAUGUACAAAGAGAGAGAAGCCGAGCUGGAUCGGCAGGACAACUUAGAUGCCCUGGAGGAGGAGCGCGAUGUCGCGAAGGCCCGUUCCGCAUUCUAUCAAUAGCAGGCUCGAAGGUAUCAAAGCAGAGAAGUGCAGGCCAAAACUUACAACAUUGGCGAACUCGUUCUACACCUACUAGAGAAGAAAAAUGACAAGCUUAAGCCCAAAUGGGAGGGGGCCUUCAUCAUUGACAAAGUUCUCACUGGAGGUGCAUACUGCCUACGUGAUGCAUCAGACAAUCGACUCAAGCCAAACCCAUGGAACGCGGCCAGACUCCGAAGAUUCUACGCCUAGCAUCGAACUCCAUGUUUGUCUCCUUUUUUAAAUUAUAUCCUCUCUCUCUGCCUUUUACAUUUAUAGCCUUAAAAUCUUCAAGUAUGCUUUGACCGCACACUCUAGCCGCGCUAUGCAUGCUCAAUAUACCUGGGGGCUUCUUACACAGAAGCUUAAUUGUCUUCUGGGCUUUAUGCCCACCACAUACGCGUCACUUCUCCGUAUGUGCCUUUUUUCAUCACUAUAUGCAUCGAUAUGACUUAAGUUUUGGCCAAGCUGGAUUGCCUGGCUCUUGUGCCCUACGUUCCUGUUAAUUCGGCUAGGGCAUACGGGGAGCACCUCUGCGAUUGUUACUGCCGGGUCAGCCGGAUGUGUACCUCAGACUAGGUGAAGCCGAAAGCUAGCGUUCUUAAGAGAAUAUUAGGUCGGUGGACAAAAGAUGUAUUUUACCUAUUACAAAACAUGCCCCCAGAUGCUUAUAUCCUGCGUAAAUUUUCACAGUUCGGACAUGGACAUCAAUGCAUGCACACCCAGGGAAAGGAACCCUUAACGGAACUAUUCUCCCUGGAAGAUGUUUCUUACUACCCAUGUAAUAUAACAUAACUAGUUGGGUACUUGUCUGUUCAAAGACUUAUGACCCAUACGCCUGGUUUCCACGCAUGCCCCGGUUUUCACGUAACCGAGCGAGUAUUCGGAUACACUCUGGACUGUCGGGUCCAGAGAUUGAAGCGAAAAGGUCGUCCAAGACAAAUGAUUUACAUUCCGGCUAGGGACAAAAUAUGUCCUUCAAAGUACAGUGUCACUUAGACUGACUAAAUUCUUCUUCUAUACCAUCCAACAGGCUGUCUAGCCUACAGUCCUGUUGGGAAUACUUAGCGGCUAAUGCUACUUGGUCAUACACCAGAUGUACAGGGAUCUCCUUCCCAUCUAACCCUACAGGUCCGACCUCGGCCAUGUGGUUCGGGUCAGCCUUGGUGUACCGUGUCUUCACCACGGCCCAGGCUUCCCUUGUGCCUUGUCGACAGGCUGAUAUCUUCCAUAAUUGGAAGCGCUGUCGUGCUCCCAUGAGCAUCUCCACAAGCUCCCCCAUGCCUCCUGACAGGGAGGCGGAUGGCCACAAGGCCUAAGCAAUACUCUGCAUCACCUGCCGAACUUAUUCGUGAAGUUGGGAGAGCUCCGGCAGAAGAUCACCUGCAGAUCCGGGCAUUUCCUCCUCGGGAUGGCCUGUUAGCAUGCCUACAGACAUAAUUCUGUUAACACGCUUCUUUGCCGAACUUUAUAGUGGUUCGUCAUGGCACUUACUGAAUAUGUCGCGCCGUAGCCUCUUAUUCUCCUUUACGGAGUCAGCAGGCUGGGCCUGGACAUCUUUUAAUUCGACGUCCAGUUGGACGUUCGCGUCCUGGAGAGUAUUUUUCUCCUUUAUAACCUUUGUAAGCACACGCUGGCCAGCCUUUAGCUGUCGCCGAACAUGUUGCUCGUCCUCUAGUACGAUCUCCAGAUUGCCUCCGGGAUUGCCUGCAGAUUCUAUUGUUAGAAUCGCAUUCAUGCCGAAUACUUAACUGGUACAUGCCAUGACGUUAUUUUCGUUUAAAGCAAAUAUUACCAGAUGGGGCCUUUGUAGACUCCUCCAUUAUGGCAAUUGCAGACCGCAAUUGGGCCUUGCACUCCUCUAGCUCUUUGGAUAGCUGGUAUUUUUCUCUGUCAGAAUCUAUGCACACGAGGAUCCUUAAAUAAGUUGUGCCAACUGUUUCAAGUCUCAGGGUCUACUGAUAUACAUACUUAUCAAAUGUUCUUACCCGUAUAUCUUUUAUGUACUGGUCUGUGGCCCUGGCUAGGCCACCUUGAGCAGCCCGGAUGUAUGUGUCCCCUGAGUUGAAGGAAUCGAACGCCUCUUCAGAGAAAUUAGGGUUGCGUAGUGCGGCCCGUUGGCGCCUAUGAUUUAUGGCACUCUUCACUUCAGAGUUUGUAGCAGAAAAUCUAUCCACAUCCUCUGUAGGAGGAUCGUCUGCGUUCACCUCUACCCUUGAGUCCGGCCUCAGAGUCCGGCUGGUGGAAGCGUGACCGGCAGGCUCUCCGGAUACAGUCCGGCGAGCGCUCUUUCUGUCGGAAGGCAGAAAACAUCGUUAUAUUUUAACAAUGAUAACUUCGUGGCAGGUUUUUAGACAUACCUUUGCAACGGCGUCUUGGUCCUGACUGCCUUCCUUUUAAGCCUAUCCGACUUCGGUACCCCUUGUUGGCGAGUCACCGCGGGUUCAGCUUGGCACCCCGAUGGCCUUCCCUAUAAGACGCAAUACAUGUGCGGUGGGUGAAGUGUAAAGAGGGAAUCCUUUUCGGAAGUUGGGACUGUGGCUUUACUUGCCUGGGAUACAGGGAGUAGGCCAGGAUAAUCGGCUAUGAUGGCCACCAUCACACCACUGCAGCUCAGCUAGUAAAAUGUCCUGUCAACAAGCUCCACAAACGUGUCCGGAUCUUCUUUGAGUCCGGGGUUGAGAGCCCGGUUAGGAUCCUCUGGCUGUGGAGAUGGGUUGUGCACGUCCUCCAUAGCCCUUCGCAGUUCCUGCUAUGAAUUGACGAAUUAAACAUCUAUACUAAAAAUGUGGGAAAGAUUGGAAUAAAAGAUAGCGACUCACCCAGCUUGGGGGGUUGUACAUGGAGAAUCCAUCCCAUGGCUUGAUAUGGAUGAACUCCUCCUCUUCUCCUUUGUACAAAUCGGAUAGUAUCUUCGCUAGAGCGGCGGGAGAGUCCGGACCUUUACGGCCGCAGCGGGUGGCAUCAUCUUCUCCAUUGAAGUGACACAUGGGUUUUCCCAGAUAUUGAAGUGGCUGCACUCCCUGCAUUGUACAUAUGGACAUGACUUUGAUAAUUGUUAGUCCUGAUUUGGCCAACAUAUUUAUCCUUUCCAGCAGGAAAAUGAUCUCUCUGUUAUCUUCCUCCUGGGGGCUUCUAGGGCGCCAGCUGUGGCGUUUCUUCAAUGGGGCAUCUACAAACUCAGGAAGGCCCUUCCGAACAGGGUCCGAAAGAGGGACGUCCUCCACGUAGAACCAUUCCGAGGGCCAGUCCUCGGAUGUCUUCUUCGGGGUGCCGGAUAGAUAUCCGGUCCCGGCGAUGCGCCAUAUUUCGGCUCCACCCACUUGAAAUACCAACCCCUUCUGGGUACGGGAUACGAGGUAGAAUAGCCUGUUCCACAGCUCGAAAUGAGCUUCGCAGCCCAGAAAAAGCUCAUAGAAGGCAACGUAGCCUGUGAUAUGCAAUAUGGGGGCUGGGGUAAAGCUGUGCAGCUAGAGGCCAUAAAACUCCAGGAGCCCACGGAGGAAAGGAUGAAUUUGAAAUCCGAGCCCCCUCAGCAAGUAGGGAACGAAGCACACCCUCUCUCCCUUGGAUGGGUUUGGAAAGCUCUCCGCUUGCUCCCCGCCAUUAUAAGUGGCUAGCCCAGCUCAGACGGGGACCAUGUAUGCAGUUGGGAGAAACCCUUUGGUCUGCAACUCUACUAGUCGGCUAUGGGGAACAUAACAUCUCUCCCAAUCACCUGGCCUAGUGCUACGGGAGCGAGCGGAGGAACCGCGACGACCGGCCAUGGUGGUAUGGAUUUUCCGGGCGCGCUCUGAUGAAUACUCGCUGGGAGGAGAUGGUGUGAUUUGGAUCUGAGGAUCCCCGUCUCUUUUAUAGAUGAUUUACCCGCAUGGUUGGGGUGGCAAAUGUAAAAAUGCCUCGACUUCUCACAUUCACUUGACACAUGGAAACAGCCAUUAUUAAAGCACAGAAGCCGAGGAGCGUGACAUUGAUGAGCCGGACACUGCUCGUUACAACAAUGCUCUGGAGGAUUUGGAGAAGAACCCGCCUUGCAAUGCCGAAGACAAUCUGCGCACCGGACUCAUCAUCAUUGAAGUCUGGUUCAGGGGCUACUGAGGGAAUCCUGGAUUAAGGGGUCCUCGGACAGCCGGACUAUAUACUUUGGCCGGACUGUUGGACUAUGAAGAUGCAAGAUUGAAGACUUCGUCCCGUGUCCGGAUGGGACUCUCCUUUGCGUGGAAGGCAAGCUUGGAUAUUCGGAGAGUCACAUCCUUGACACGGGACGAAGUUACCCCGGGGUUUAAGAAGGCACCUUCAUGUUCUGAGAUUGAUGUUGCUAUGUACUUUGCUAUGCUUAAUGCUUGUCACUAGGGCACGAGUGCCAUGAAUUCAGAUCUGAACUGUUUAUGUUUUCACUAUUAUAUCUAUGUUCUAGAUCUGAUCUUGCUAGUCAUAUGCACCUGCUAUGUCUUAUGAUCCGUAAACCCAGAGGCAACAGUAAUCGGAAUACUUUCUGGUGAUGGCCGCAGUUUCAGGAGUUCAUGUAUUCACUAUGUGUUAAUGCUUUGUUCUGGUUCUCCAUUAAAAGGAGGCCUUAAUAUCCCGUAGUUUCCAUAUGGACCCUACUGCCACGAGAGGGUAGGACAAAAGUUUCCGUGCAAGUUCUUUUCUGUAAGCACGUAUGACUAUUUACGGAGUACAUGCCUACAUUAUAUUUAUGAACUGGAACUAGUUCUGUGUUGCCCUAGGUUAUGACUGUUAUAUGAUGAAUAUCAUCCAACGAGUUCACCGAUCCAAUGCCUACGAGUUUUUCACAUAUUUCUCUUGCUAAGUUACUACUACCAUUGCUACUGUUACAACUGCUAGAAAAUCAUUGCUAUCACUAUUACCGUUACUGUUACUGCUACCACUAUUAUCAAAACUAUCAUAUUACUGUGCUACUGAUCACUGUGUUGUAGAUAUUUAAUCUCCAGGUGUGGUUUAAUUGACAACUCAACUGCUAAUACUUGAAAAUAUUCUUUGGCUCCCGUUGUGUCGAAUCUAUAAAUUUGGGUUGAAUACUCUACCAUCGAAAACUGUUGCGAUCCCUUAUACUUGUGGGUUAUCAAGAGCACUGCUCAGAUGGAGUUGGCUGCUUAGCUAAUUCGGCAUUUAUUAGCACUCAACCUUAAAAUGUACGGUGGUGGUGGUUGUUCUUGUACACAAGUAUGGAAAUUAAAACUUGUUUAUCUAUGCUCAACUUGGAACAUAUUCCUAUACUAAUUAAGCUAAUUCUCAACUCAAAAUAAUAUUCUCUUCUGAACUAUUGUACGUUCUAUUCAUGAAAUUUGGUAUUAGCUAUUUCAUGCAAAACACAAGCCAAAGGCGUAACUGGAACUAAUGUUUGAAAUAUCCCUUAGAGAAAAUAAUAAAAAAAUUAUUAUCAUAUUUCCUUGUUCAUGAUAAAUGUUUAUUAUCGAUGCUAUAAUUGUAUUGACCGGAUACUUAAAUACAUGUGCGGAUACAUAAAUGAAUACCAUGUCCCUAGUGAGCCUCUAUUAGACUGGCUUGUUGAUUAAAGUUGGUUAAGGUUUCCUAACCAUAGACAUGAGUUUUCAUUUAAUAACGAGAUCACACCAUUAGGAGCAUGAUGUGAUGGACAAACCUAAUCGUAAGCUUAGCGUCUCAUCGUGUCACUAAGUUCAAUUUCUGAUAGCUUUCCUAAUGUCAAGUAUCUGUUCCGUAGACCAUGAGACAUGCCACUCCCAAAUGCCAGAAGAAUACUUUGCGGGUUAUAAAAUGUCACUUCAUAACUGGGUGAUCAUAACAGUGCUCUACAGGUAUUUCAUAAAGUGUUUGUCGGGUUGCAUGGAUCAAGACUGGGAUUUGUCGCUCCGUGUGACGGAGAGAUAUCUCUAGGACCUCUCGGUAAUACAACAUCGUGACUAGCGUGCAAGCAUGUGACUAAUGAGUUUAGUCACGGGAUCUUGUAUUACAAAGCGAGUAAAGAGACUUGUUGUUAAAGAGAUUGAACUAGGUAUGGAGAUACCGACGAUCGAUUCUCGGGCAAGUGACAUAUAGACGGACAAAGGGAAUUGUAUACGGGAUUAACUGAAUACUUGCAAUCGUGGUUCAAAUAGAUAAAGAUCUUUGUUGAAUAUGUAGGAGUCAAUAUGGGCAUACAUGUGCCGUUAUUGAUUAUUGACUGGAGAGGUGUCUCGGUCAUGUCUACAUGUUCUCGAACCCGUAGGGUCACACACUUAACGUUCAAUAAUUCUAGGGCAGUAUUGGGAUAUUCAUAUGGUGAGUCCGAAAGUAGUUCGGAGUCUAGGAUGGGAUCCCGGACAGCACGAGGAUCUCCGGAAUGGUCUGGAGGUAAAGAUGUAUAUAUGGGAAGUCAUAUUCAACAUUCUAGAAAUGUUUGGGAUUUUUCGGUAUUGUACCAAGAAGGUUCUUGAAGGUUCCAGAGUGGGUCCCACCUUUAGGGGGACCCACAUGGACGUGGGUAGUGGGGAAAUGACCCUAAUCCCCUGGUGUAGGCGCACAAGAUCCCCCCUAAAAGGAAUAGGAUCAUAUCCCGAAGGGAUAAGAUCAUGAUCCCAAAAAAGGGGGAUAGCGAUCGGCGGGGAAGGAAAGGAGGGAUUUCCUUCCUCACCCCUUGGCCAACGACCCUAGGGGCUUGGAGGGCAAGCCACCAGCCCCCUCCAUGCAUAUAUAAAGGUGGGAGGCAUAGGGGGAAGCCAUGCUUCCACCCUUGGCCGCCUCCCCUCCGGUUACUCCUCCUGCUCCGCGUAGCGCUUGGCGAAGCACUGCCGGUGUUCCGCUGCCACCACCACCACCACGUCGUCAUGCUUGGCUAGAUCCCAUCUAACUCUCUGCCCUCCCUUGAUGGAUCAAGAAGGCAGAGACUUCACCGAGCCAUACGUGUGCAUAUCUCGGAGGUGUCGUUCGUUCGGCGCUGGAUCAGAUUGGAUCGCGAAGGGAGUACGACUACGCCAACCACGAUCUUUAUAUCGUUAACGCUUUCACUCUACAAGGGUAUGUAGACACUCCUGCUCUCGUUGUCAGCAUCUCCAUAGAAUAGAUCUUGGGUGUUUCUUAGAAAAAAAAUUUGUUUUCCAUGCAAUGUUCCCCAUCAACAAUUGUAUGCAAGGUUCUUAAUUUUUAGGGACAUUUCAAUUUUCCCCAUACUUUCCGCCCGACCUCAUCUUUAUCCCUAAUAAAAAACAAUGCUAAACUUUGCCCCUCUUUUGUUUUAUGCCCUUAUGGAAAUACCCUUCUGUUCCCUUUUCGUCCGGUCAAAGGCCUUUGACAGUCUACGCGAAGUUUUCUGAACAUUUUUGCACUUGUUUACAUAUGUAAUUUAUAGGUGGGCCACCUCGUCCCUAGGAAAAAAAGAAAAAAAAAAC
rnacentral:lncRNA from 1 species